CCUACGGGAGGCAGCAGUGGGGAAUAUUGCACAAUGGGGGAAACCCUGAUGCAGCGACGCCGCGUGAAGGAAGAAGUAUCUCGGUAUGUAAACUUCUAUCAGCAGGGAAGAUAAUGACGGUACCUGACUAAGAAGCCCCGGCUAACUACGUGCCAGCAGCCGCGGUAAUACGUAGGGUGCAAGCGUUAUCCGGAAUUAUUGGGCGUAAAGGGCGCGUAGGCGGCCUGCUAAGUCUGGAGUGAAAGUCCUGCUUUCAAGGUGGGAAGUGCUUUGGAUACUGGUGGGCUGGAGUGCAGGAGAGGAAAGCGGAAUUACCGGUGUAGCGGUGAAAUGCGUAGAGAUCGGUAGGAACACCAGUGGCGAAGGCGGCCUGCUGGACUGUUACUGACACUGAGGCACGAAAGCGUGGGGAGCAAACAGGAUU
rnacentral:rRNA from 1 species